rnacentral:tRNA from 1 species
AAAUGAAGUGCCUGACGAAAAAGGAUUAUUUUGAUAGAAUAAAUCAUGUAAAUUUUUACCUUCAUU